rnacentral:SRP_RNA from 1 species
GCCAGGUGUGGUGGCGCACAUCUGUAAUCCCAGCUACUCGGGAGGCUGAGGCAGGAGAAUUGCUGGAACCCAGGAGGCAGAGGCUGCGUGAGCCGAGAUCGUGCCACUGCACUUCUGCCUGGGUGACACGGCAAGACUCUGUCUCAA